AUCUUAUAUUUAAAAAUAGGUCCAAUUUAUAAUAUUUUUUAUAUUCACUUAUAGUUCCUAAAAAUUUGUUUUUAACCGCUAUAUUUGGAUAUCACGAUAACUAGUAAGGUGUCAUGGGCCUUAAAAAGAAUAUUUGUUUGUUUCGUGGACCUGUGAGAAGUUAUGUCUUUGAAAAUUUCUCAUUGUCUGGCGAAAAUAAUAAUAUCUGUAAGAAGGGACAUGUACUUUACUCUUUCAUUACAAAUGGUCAGAUGUUAAAGAAUCAAAGAGCCUUUUGCCUAAGAAUUUAAAUACUCUUACACAUCUUUUAUUAAAAAUUAAAGUGUUGAAAUAUUGUUUAUUCUUAUUUCUUUAAUUGUAACUAUCUUUUCACAAU